UUUCAGUGCCUAAACUGUAGGGAAAGACAGUCUCUUCUGUGGCCUCAAUGUGUGCCUCAAGGUGCAGAGGAAGUCAAGCAGGGCCAGGAGACCCGGUCCCCACACAGGGAAGAUGCUGUCUCCCCAAGCAGGGCGGCCUGCUCCUGGAGACCAAAGAGGAAUAAACCCCAGCAGGGUUUAGCGGUCCUCAGCCCCCACAGUGGAAGCAGCCCAAGCAGGAUGCACCAGGGCAGCAGCAGCUCCCUGGGUGCCCAGACAAGUCUAUACCCACGCGUGCUGCUCCAGCAAAGCCACACGAGGGGAGGCCAAAAGAGAAGCCCUGCCAAGGUGGACCUCCACAGGUCUAUCUGAUUCCGUGGAGCCCCAGCCCCGCGCAAGGCGAUGCGAGAGGGCCAGCACAAGAGAGGUGGCCAGAAACCUCACUGCCAUCUGAGAGAUGGCCAGAAGUCUGCCUGCCUCUGCCUCCACUGAGAUACCCAGCAAAACCUCAGUUGCAGGGGAACUAGAACAAAAUUGUAAACAAUUGGGAUCUCACCUUAUUAAGAAGCUUCUCCACAGCAAGAGAAACCAACAGCAGACUGAAUGGACAACACACAGUUUUUGAAAACAAAUUGACCAGAGAUUCCUCCAAGGAAUACUAUCUAGAAUACAUAAAGAACUUCAAAAAUCAGACCCCUCGGUAAAUGGAAAGACCUCAUCCAAAAAUGGGCUUCUGAAAUGAAUAGACAUUUCUCAGAUGAAGAUGUAGAAGCAGUGCAAAACAUUUGAAAAGAUGUUCAAUAUGUCUGCUCAUUGGAGAGAUGAAAAUGAAAGCAACAUUGUAACUCCCUCUUCUGGAGAAAGUAUAGCUGCUACCAAGAAAUUAACCAAUAACAAAUGGUGGUAGAGAUAUGGCAAAAAAGGAAUGCUUCUCCAGUAUUGCUGGGAAUGUAGACUGGUGCAACCACUGUGGAAAUCAGUAUGCAGAUUCCUAAAAAUAGUGGAUUCCAUGUCCCAUUUGACCCAGCUAUUCCCCUUCCUGUGUAUUUUCUCAAAAGGAUUAAAGUAUCAUACCACAGUCAUAUAAGCACACCCAUGUUGACAGCAACACAGUUUGUAAUAGCUAACAAAUGGACAUCAAAUGGGUAUUGGGUAAAGAAC
rnacentral:lncRNA from 1 species